AUAUUCAUUUCUGCUGCAUCUCAGUUCUCAGCUGAAGAAAUAUCCAUGAUGCGUUUUCCUUCAAUGAACCCAAACGGGCCCUGAAACCCGCAGCUUUGCCUUCUCUUCUUGCUUUUUCAAUUUUUGGCCACAGAGCUUGUCUUGCUUUCCAAUCUUCUGCUGUCAAAUCUUCAGAGAAGCGAACUCCUUCUUCUUUGCAGACUGGAGAAGUUUUAGUUCUCUUCCAGAUGUGUCUCUCAAGGCUCGUCUCACAAACAGAAUGAUGAUCUGUCUGUCCCUGUUAUGCAUCUUUCGACCCACUCUGUGGUCAACAUCAACCUCUUCAUCCAUCUUUGAAGCCAAAUCAGGUGCAAUUUGCACAGAAGCGCCACAACUUCAUCUCCGAUGUUCUCACCAGACUUUUCCUUUUAUGCGGAGGCUCCACCGUCUUUUAUAUCUUUCACUGUUCAGGACUCCUUCAUGUUCUCUUUGGAGAGUGUAUCCACUUGUUUCUCCAAUUCUAUUAUUUUCUUUUUGCAAUCGUUUAGCUCCUCUGAGUUGAGCUGAACCGAUUUAGCAAUAGCCGCUAGCAUAGCACUGUGCUGCUUCAUUUACAUGCCAACUUCUUCCAUGCGGUCAUCUAAUUUCUGUCCUAAGGAACUUAUAGCCUCAGUGUUCAUUUGAUCCUGGGACGAACCUUUAGUUCUUUUUUCCAUGUGUGUAUUUUUUUCCGGAGUGCUGGUCAGGGUUCUGGUCGGGGUUCUGGUCGGGGUUCUGGUCGGGGUUCUGGUCAGGGUUCUGGUCAGGGUUCUGGCUUCCCUUUCCCGUUUGCCAGCUGCAGCUGAUUCCAUUGGCACAGAAUAGUCGUGAUCACUUUUAGACUGCAAAGUCUUGACUGCAGGUGGCAUAAACUUAUUGCUUUUCUUCAUACUUCAAGCUGAGAACUGAUUUUUACAAAUAUUUACUAGUAGUUUUACUAUUUUUUUAAUGGAUCUUUAUUGAGAAACAAAGUACAUAACAGUACAAACACAGAAAUGUCUGCUAGGUGUCACCGACACAUACGGUACAUCACCAUGACGUUACAUGAACACUUUUUUUUUUUUUUAACAAAUUAAUCAGAAACAAAUAAGGCAAUUACAGUAUUGGAAUUCUGUAUAAGGCACAUAUAGAAGAGGCAUAUUUAAAAUGGAAUACAGAGUAAUAUUGAUAAUAGAAAAUUAGUAUUACAAUAAGUAAUAGUGAAACAAUAGCUAAAAAAAAAAGGCAAAGGGGGAUUCAUGUAUUAGGAUUAAUAUACAUCAGUGGGCAAUUCCAUUAAUAUUUCAGCCAGGGAUUCAUAUGAUUCAAUACAUUUCAAGGAUUUCAAAUAUAACUGGAAUUCAGAUAAGACGAUGUUAAAUACUGGGGAUGAUCUCAGCACUCUUUGUUUAUGAAUAAAGAAUUUUGCCAAACAAAAUAUUAAGUUACAACAGAGUUCUGUAGUUUUGUUUAUUAAUAACACUCCAAAAGUUACCAUAUCUCUAGAAAUAGAUUCAGGAAGUGUGAUUUUUAAACUGAUCCACCUUUCUAAGCAAUUCCAGAAUGUUUUGGUUUGGUUGCAUUCAUAGAAGAUAUGGUCUAUCGUUUCAAUAUCACGUUCACAAAAUGAGCACUUAUUGUCAUCGAUAUUAAAGCGAUUUCUUAAUAGUUCUUUUGAAGGGUAAAUUGCAUUUAAAAUUUUAAAGUGUGUUUCUUUAGCUUUUGGUUGUAUGGGGAGUUUAAAAUAAAGAGUUCUUAACGUUUCAAUUGAUUUAUUAUCAAACUUACUAGUAGUUUUACUUCAUAAAGUAAUUUAGAGUCGGGACCUCUUAGGGAGCUCAGAGAAACAUGACUGGCCUGUCCGCCAUCUUCUCGGAACUGUCUCUGUUAGUUAUAAAGCGAAAACAGCGACACCUACUGUCGUUUCUGUAAAAUAUUUCAAUCCGUUCGGCUUUUGCUCCGUUUCACUUGAUAUUUUUCUCCACUUUCCGCCAGAAUGACAACCACCAGCUGACUACAACAACAAUGCUCAGUGAGCAUGCGCACUGUACACGGUAACAUGCUCGCUACUUCUAUUCCAAGAGAGAAGAGAAACAGCGCGGCCGCUAGCGCCCCUAGUGGUGUGAGGUCACAACAGCAUCCUUACAGAAACAUUUUCUACAUCCAGGAAUACUGAUUUUAUAUUUCAUUCAUUAAUUUAAUCCGAGUUAUAUUUGAUCUAAGGGCAGCUUGAUAGUUUUGUUCAACAAUCCACACUGUAAAAGUGUAAACUUUGUUAUUUUGUUUGGUAAAUAAUGAGAUUUUUAUGCACACUUACACUAAAACAUUACAUAAAAAGUCAAUUAAAAGUGUAAACCCUGUAUAAAAAAAGUGUCAUUAUUUACAAAAUGACAUUUCAUGACAACAUUUAUAAAGAAUCCUAUGUCCUUUUUACGUGCACCCCUUCAAAUAAAGUCUUACCAAAUUUACUUCCUUGCAACAACAUUGUUUUAAAUAAUAUCACACCCUGGUUCACUUACACCUGCUUAGUUGUUUAUGCUGUGGAUUAAUUUCACAUUGAAACAUUGUAAAUAAAACAUCAGCAAAACAAGAAGUGAACACUCACCUGAUCCAGACGCUGCUCUUCUUCUUCUUCUUCUUUUUUGGCGGUUGGCAAGCAACUUAUUGAUGUGCAUUACCGCCAUGAACUGGAAUGGAGUGUGGAUCGGGAUGCUACAUAUAUUUUCCCCCAACACCCCAAAAAAAGAAAAAUAAAAGAAACCUUAUAUCCUUUCUAUCAAUUUCGUUUUCUUAAGAUAAUUUAUUAAAUAACAAAAAUAUACAGACUCUGCUCUGCUGCUGCAUGGAGUCUGAACCGGUUCUGAUCCAAACCUGACUAGAGCUGACACACCUGAGGCUCCGCCCCCUGACCCAGCUGAGGCUCCGCCUCCUUCCAGGAAAUCAUUUCAGGAAGGAACCAGAAGAUUCAGGAGUCUGGGAGAUGUGACUGUAACCGACCUGAACACUGAGGCCCCAGAGCGCCCCCUGCAGGAUCUGCUGCACCAUUAACCAGACAGAAAUGGCAGUUUUAUACAAGUUAUUAUUCUAAUUCAAUAGCUGAUGUAAUUAAUCGAGUUUU